ensembl:snoRNA SNORD82 Small nucleolar RNA SNORD82
UGCACAAGUGAUGAAUGACAAGGGACUUAAUACUGAAACCUCAUGCUGGAAUGCAAUAUGCUGAUGUGC